rnacentral:rRNA from 1 species
GAUGAACGCUGGCGGCGUGCCUAAUACAUGCAAGUCGAGCGAACGGACGAGAAGCUUGCUUCUCUGAUGUUAGCGGCGGACGGGUGAGUAACACGUGGAUAACCUACCUAUAAGACCGGGAUAACUUCGGGAAACCGGAGCUAAUACCGGAUAAUAUUUUGAACCGCAUGGUUCAAAAGUGAAAGACGGUCUUGCUGUCACUUAUAGAUGGAUCCGCGCUGCAUUAGCUAGUUGGUAAGGUAACGGCUUACCAAGGCAACGAUGCAUAGCCGACCUGAGAGGGUGAUCGGCCACACUGGAACUGAGACACGGUCCAGACUCCUACGGGAGGCAGCAGUAGGGAAUCUUCCGCAAUGGGCGAAAGCCUGACGGAGCAACGACGCGUGAGUGAUGAAGGUCUUCGGAUCGUAAAACUCUGUUAUUAGGGAAGAACAUAUGUGUAAGUAACUGUGCACAUCUUGACGGUACCUAAUCAGAAAGCCACGGCUAACUACGUG